UUAAGUUCAGCGGGUAUCCCUACCUGAUCCGAGGUCAAAAUUGAGAAAUGGGCUUCUGGAUACCAACAUGCUGGCGGGAGUCGCAAGAUUGUGCUGCGCUCCACGACCGGUACGUCGGCUGCCAAUUGCUUUGAGGUGAGUCCCUGUGACAGGACAAGCACCCAACACCAAGCAGAGCUUGAGGUAUCAAAUGACGCUCG
rnacentral:misc_RNA from 1 species